rnacentral:rRNA from 1 species
CCUACGGGGGGCAGCAGUGGGGAAUAUUGGACAAUGGGGGGAACCCUGAUCCAGCCAUGCCGCGUGUGUGAAGAAGGCCCUCGGGUUGUAAAGCACUUUCAGUGAGGAAGAACGCCUGGUGGUUAAUACCCAUCAGGAAAGACAUCACUCACAGAAGAAGCACCGGCUAACUCCGUGCCAGCAGCCGCGGUAAUACGGAGGGUGCGAGCGUUAAUCGGAAUUACUGGGCGUAAAGCGCGCGUAGGUGGCUUGAUAAGCCGGUUGUGAAAGCCCCGGGCUCAACCUGGGAACGGCAUCCGGAACUGUCAAGCUAGAGUGCAGGAGAGGAAGGUAGAAUUCCCGGUGUAGCGGUGAAAUGCGUAGAGAUCGGGAGGAAUACCGGUGGCGAAGGCGGCCUUCUGGACUGAAACUGACACUGAGGUGCGAAAGCGUGGGUAGCAAACAGGAUUAGAUACCCUGGUAGUC